AAACGGCGGCCGUAACUAUAACGGUCCUAAGGUAGCGAAAUUCCUUGUCGGUUAAAUACCGACCUGCAUGAAUGGCGUAACGAGAUGGGAGCUGUCUCAACCAGAGAUUCAGUGAAAUUGUAGUGGAGGUGAAAAUUCCUCCUACCCGCGGCAAGACGGAAAGACCCCGUGGA
rnacentral:rRNA from 1 species